rnacentral:lncRNA from 1 species
UUGGUUUAUGGAGAAAAUGAACAGGAAUAAACAAAACCAGAUCAACGAAUCCCUCUUCCACAAACCCAUUCCCAGAAAAGCCACCAAGAUAUGAAACCCCAAAUAGCCCCAAGCAACCGCCGCUGCAGAUCAUAACUUCAAAAUCCAGAUAAGCCCCUACACGAUCUAAAGCCACCGGACUUUUCUAUGAAUAGAUCGGAAAUCAGAUUUUCGGGAAAGUCCUAGAUUAGCCGCCUAAAAAGCAUGAGUAGCACCUAGCAUGAAACGAAUAAACUCGUUAGCGAAAGAGAUGAGGAAAUAAUUUUAGAGAGAAAUGAGAUUCUGAGAACUUACACGAUGCGAGGUUUCAUUUGAUGAAGAGCGAGAGUGUGGUCGACGGUUUCAUUUGAUGAAGAAUUGAAGAGCGAGAGGUUGAGAGUGAUGAAGAGCCAGAUCUUUUCGGCUCUCAUUCUCUCUUUCUCUUUCUGGAUAUAUAGUGACUGAUAAUACAUAGCCUAGAUCUGUCUUGUAUUUACUUUUUAUGCCUUAGCCAGUUAAGG